GACAGAAAGCGGGAAAUGAGAAAAUAAGCAGAAAUUUUUAAUAUUUCACUAACUCUCUAUUCCCCAAUUUAUAUUUCUAUCAUUUACCACACAAAGACAACCCUAAUCAUUCUCUCUUCUGUCUUUUCCCCAUGGAUGGCUUGUUCUAUCCUCUAUAUCGUUUCCCACUGAUGGCACACAGAGAGUCAUAGCCAUUCUGCUUUUCUUUCAGUAAAUUCAUUUUGCUCCAAUGCCUCCUCUUAGCCAUCUCUAGGGCUACCAUAAAGGUUUAUUUCUUCAUAAUGGAGAGGGGUUAGUCCUCUUCAAAAUCUUUGUUCCAGAAGUUUCUUCAUCGCCAGCAAAGAUUUUAAGGGUGGUGAUUUAUGACUUGUUUGGAUAUUCAGAUGUAUGUAAAGAAUCAAUAUUAUGCAACUAAAUGGGUGCUCAAGAUAUGCAUUUUCGAGAAAAUGAGGAAUUUUUGAAAAAAUGUGGCUUGCAAAUUAUAGCAAUUAUGGAGACCUUAGACGGUUCACAACUUGGAAACAAAGGGACCAAAUUAUUGACUUUUAAUUUCCAUAUGAGAUUUUUGGGGCUAUGCAACAAAAUGCAGGUUGAACACACUUGGACAUUGUUCAUCAAGCUUUGGGAGAAGUCUUGUUCGUGAGUCACUUUUCGGGAGGAAAAGUGAAAGUGUUAUGAUUUGAAGGGAGUUCAAGAUCUUAGCACUUCAAAAAUUUGAUUAGGAGUUUAGAUUACAAUAGUUGUGACAAAUUCAAGAGGAAGUCUUUAUUUGUAUAAGUCAAUUUGUUUUUGUAAUCGUUUAGAUAUUCUUCUAAUAAAUUUCAUUCUCUGUGUGUGGUCCCGUAGACUAGUAGCAAUCUGCAAAGAUUGUUGGUACCACGUAUAAUUUCGUGUGUUUUUUACCUUAUGUUUGUUUUUAUCUUCUCGUGAUAAACUGUUUAAACAUAUCUGGUUUCUGUUCAAACA